rnacentral:rRNA from 1 species
AGUGAACGCUGGCGGUAGGCCUAACACAUGCAAGUCGAACGGCAGCACAGUAAGAGCUUGCUCUUACGGGUGGCGAGUGGCGGACGGGCGAGGAAUACAUUGGAAUCUACUUUUUCGUGGGGGAUAACGUAGGGAAACUUACGCUAAUACCGCAUACGACCUACGGGUGAAAGCAGGGGAUCUUCGGACCUUGCGCGAUUGAAUGAGCCGAUGUCGGAUUAGCUAGUUGGCGGGGUAAAGGCCCACCAAGGCGACGAUCCGUAGCUGGUCUGAGAGGAUGAUCAGCCACACUGGAACUUAGACACGGUCCAGACUCCUACGGGAGGCAGCAGUGGGGAAUAUUGGACAAUGGGCGCAAGCCUGAUCCAGCCAUACCGCGUGGGUGAAGAAGGCCUUCGGGUUGUAAAGCCCUUUUGUUGGGAAAGAAAAGCAGCAGGUUAAUACCCCGCUGUUCUGACGGUACCCAAAGAAUAAGCACCGGCUAACUUCGUG